GGGUGAUAGUCCCGUACACUAAAGCAACCUUUAAGUGAAAUCGAGUAGGACGGAGCACGUGAAACUUUGUCUGAAUAUGGGGGGACCAUCCUCCAAGGCUAAAUACUACUAACUGACCGAUAGUGAACCAGUACCGUGAGGGAAAGGCGAAAAGAACCCCGGAGAGGGGAGUGAAAUAGAACCUGAAACCGCAUACGUACAAGCAGUGGGAGCCUGGUUACGACCGGGUGACUGCGUACCUUUUGUAUAAUGGGUCAGCGACUUAAUUUUAGUAGCAAGGUUAACCGAUUAGGGGAGCCGUAGGGAAACCGAGUCUUAAUAGGGCGUUUAGUUGCUAGGAUUAGACCCGAAACCGAGCGAUCUACCCAUGGCCAGGUUGAAGGUUGAGUAACAUCAACUGGAGGACCGAACCCACGUAUGUUGAAAAAUGCGGGGAUGAGCUGUGGGUCGGAGUGAAAGGCUAAUCAAGCUCGGAGAUAGCUGGUUCUCCUCGAAAUCUAUUUAGGUAGCGCCUCGUGUAUCACUGCUGGGGGUAGAGCACUGUUAUGGCUAGGGGGCCAUCCCGGCUUACCAAACCAUUGCAAACUCCGAAUACCAGCAAGUGCAAUCACGGGAGACACACAGCGGGUGCUAACGUCCGUUGUGGAAAGGGAAACAACCCAGACCGCCAGCUAAGGUCCCAAAAUCACAGCUCAGUGGGAAACGAUGUGGGAAGGCACAGACAGCUAGGAGGUUGGCUUAGAAGCAGCCAUCCUUUAAAGAAAGCGUAAUAGCUCACUAGUCGAGUCGGCCUGCGCGGAAGAUUUAAUCUUAUCGUUACUCAUGUCAGCAUUCGCACUUCUGAUACCUCCAGCAAACUUUACAAUUCACCUUCAUUGGCUUACAGAACGCUCCUCUACCAUGCCAGUAAACUGGCAUCCGCAGCUUCGGUACAUAUCUUAAGCCCCGCCGGGUGAAAAACCCGUCCGCCGAAAACCCAAGGUUUCCUGCGCAACGCUAAUCGGCGCAGGGUUAGUCGGCCCCUAAGGCGAGGCAGAGAUGCGUAGUCGAUGG